rnacentral:rRNA from 1 species
AUUGAACGCUGGCGGCAGGCCUAACACAUGCAAGUCGAACGAGUGGCGGACGGGUGAGUAAUGUCUGGGAAACUGCCUGAUGGAGGGGGAUAACUACUGGAAACGGUAGCUAAUACAGCAUACCAUCGGAUGUGCCCAGAUGGGAUUAGCUAGUGGGUGGGGUAAAGGCUCACCUAGGCGACGAGCCCUAGCUGGUCUGAGAGGAUGACCAGCCACACUGGAACUGAGACACGGUCCAGACUCCUACGGGAGGCAGCAGUGGGGAAUUUUGCACAAUGGGCGCAAGCCGGAUUCAGCCAGUCCGAGUGUAGGAAGAAGGCCUUCGGGUUGUAAAGUACUUUCAGCGGGGAGGCGUUACCCGAAGAAGAAGCACCGGCUAACUCCGUGCCAGCAGCCGCGGUAAUAC